rnacentral:rRNA from 1 species
AUUGCCCUAGUAACGGCGAGUGAAGCGGCAAUAGCUCAAAUUUGAAAGCUGGCCUUCUGGUCCGCAUUGUAAUUUGUAGAGGAUGCUUUUAGGCAGCCGCCGGUCUAAGUUCCUUGGAACAGGACGUCAUAGAGGGUGAGAAUCCCGUAUGUGACCGGCUCUGGCACCUUAUGUAAAGCUCCUUCGACGAGUCGAGUUGUUUGGGAAUGCAGCUCUAAAUGGGAGGUAAAUUUCUUCUAAAGCUAAAUACUGGCGAGAGACCGAUAGCGCACAAGUAGAGUGAUCGAAAGAUGAAAAGCACUUUGGAAAGAGAGUUAAAAAGCACGUGAAAUUGUUGAAAGGGAAGCGCUUGCAAUCAGACUUGGACUUGGCUGUUCAACCGGUCUUCUGACCGGCCUACUCAGUCUUGUCCAGGCCAGCAUCAGUUUCGGCGGCCGGAUAAAGGCCCUGGGAAUGUAGCUGUUCCUUCGGGGACAGUGUUAUAGCCCAGGGUGUAAUACGGCCAGCCGGGACUGAGGUCCGCGCUUCGGCUAGGAUGCUGGCGUAAUGGUUGUAAGCGGCCCGUCUUGAAACACGGACCAAGGAGUCUAACAUCUAUGCGAGUGUUAGGGUGUCAAACCCUUACGCGUAAUGAAAGUGAACGGAGGUGGGAACCCGCAAGGGUGCACCAUCGACCGAUCCUGAUGUCUUCGGAUGGAUUUGAGUAAGAGCAUAGCUGUUGGGACCCGAAAGAUGGUGAACUAUGCCUGAAUAGGGUGAAGCCAGAGGAAACUCUGGUGGAGGCUCGCAGCGGUUCUGACGUGCAAAUCGAUCGUCAAAUUUGGGUAUAGGGGCGAAAGACUAAUCGAACCAUUAAGUUAUCAGACUACUAGGUGGUUAAGAGGGACGCAAAAGACGAGCCCUAGUGGCACCCGCGAGGGUGCUGCGACACUAUCAAAUUGUUCGGGGACUCCCUAAAGCUCAAUCUACUAAGCGGCGGUGGAAACACGCGCCGUGGCCGGGGUAACGACCUAGGGUAUAGUAAAAACGAUUGAGAUUACCACGGUCAAACGUGGUGAAUGGGUUAUCCGCAGCCAAGCUCUAAGGGAGGUCAAACUCCUACGAGUGCAGUUCACAGGCCAGAUGUUAGUGGGUCCUCUUCACGGAGGGCUUAAGAUAUGGUCGGGCCCCCUUGGAAACCUUGGGGGAUUUGUUGGUCGCGGGCGACCGGUUUCCUUAA